GUUGACCAUUUGUAUGUCUCCUUUUGAGAAACAUCUAUUCAGACACUUUGUCCAUUUUUUAAUUGGAUUAUUUGUAUUUUUACUGCUGAGUUUUUUAAGUUCCUUGUAUAUUCUAGAUGUUAGUUCCUUGUUGGAUGAAUACAUAGCAAAUAUUUUCUCUAUUCAACAGGUUGCCUCUUCAUUCUGUUGAUUGUUUCAUUUGCUGUGCUGAAGCUAUUUAGUUUAAUAUAGUCCCACUUGUCUAUUUUAUUUUUGUUGCCUGUGCUUUUGAGGUCUUAGCCAUAAAGUCUUUGCCUAGACCCAUGUCUGGAGUGUUUCCUGUAAGCAUUCUUCUAGUAGUUUUAUAGUUUUGGGACUUACAUUUAAAUCUUUAAUCCAUUUUGAGUUGAUUUCUGUAUAUGGUGAGAGACGGUUCUAGUGGUAUUCUUCUGCAUCUGGUAGCAUUUUCCCAGCUCCAUUUAUUCUCCAUUGUUGCUUUUGUUCUUUCUCCAUUGUAUAUUCUCAGUUCCUUUACCAAAAAUGAGUUGGCUAUCAAUGCAUGGAUUUAUUGUGAGUUCUCUUUUGUAUUCCAUUAGUCUAUGUGUCUGUUUUUAUGCUAGCACCAUGCUGAUUUGGUUACUAUAACUUUAUAUUGUAUUCUGAAUUCAGUAAGUGUGAUGCCUCUAGCUUUGUUCUUCUUGCUCAUGAUUGCUUUGGCUAUUUGGGAUAUUUUACGAUUCCAUAUGAAUUUCAUGAUUUUUUCUAUUUCUGUGAAUAAUGAUAUUGGUAUUUUGAUAGGGAUUGAAUUGAAUCUGUAAACUGCUUUGGGUAGUAUGAACAUUUUAACAAUAUUCUCCCAAUUUAUGUGCAUGAAAUUUAUGUGUCUCAUUUUUAAAAUUAAUAUUUAACAAUAUUAAUUCUCCCAAUUUAUGUGUUUUAUUUUUUUUCCUUAGAGACAAGGUCUCACUAUGUUUCCCAGGCUAGUCUUGAACUCCCAGGCUCAAACAAUUCUCCUGUCUCAUCAUCCCAAAGUGCCAGGAUUACAGAGCACAUGAGCCUGCAAGGCCCAGAUCAACACCUGACUCAGACAGAACACCAGGGCAGUGCACAGCUGGGAUUUCAGUCUCUGCUCUCAGCUCCCAGGUCCACUGGCUCUACUGAGGGCACCUACACUCUGCAGCCAGGCGGCCUGGAUUGAACGCCCUGCCCAGGACCCACACACAGGCACUGCAGCAGCGACAGGAGGAGGGGUUGCUGGGAACAGGAAGGACACCACCGCUUGGCCUCGGGCACCGGAGGGACAACCUGGAGGGCUCCGGGAGCACCGCAAAGGUCCAAGCGGAGCCAAUCCUCACAAGCCCAGGGAAGGGCAACGUGACAGACCGGUGGGACAGCCCCACCGCCGCGAAGAGGGGCUGCCCAAAAGGCAACAGCCAUAGGAGAUGAGCAGGGGUGCCUGCUGCGUCGGAGAACUCAUCUCCCCAACCCCACCGACGCCACAAGGUAGAGGGCGAGGACAGCGAGGUCGGCCGGAUUCCGCACCCCUGCCUCCAACCACCGCCCAUGGGCGGGGAGGAGAGACUACCGGCCGCAAGCGGAACGCAGAACGAGAAAAGCCGUCCCGUUAGCCAUGAAUGUGUCCCUCAUCUGUACCGCCUCCGGCCCCGCCCGGGAGAACGCGACGUCACCACAUCCAUCACUUGUUCUCUUUCACUCUUCCCGUUCUUUCCUUUUCCCAGUAUAUUUAUAUAGUAAUUAUGUUUAAUUCAGCCACUCCUUGUUUUUUUCCGUGACUCAUCUUCUCAUAUGUCAACUUGACUACUUUUCACUUGCUUCGUAGUAUUUGUUCUUCCUCAAGUUAAUACUUGCCUUUGUUUUUAUGUUCUAGAUAACUCUCAUUAAUUUAACUUUGAUAUCUGUUCCAUUUCUGUGACUCUGUUAAGAAAUUAGAGACUUUGAACUUUCUAUUAAUUUUACUUUCUUGGAAAUGUCCCUCUUGGGCCCUUCUGGCUGCUCCCAUCUGGACUGGAGGCUUCUACCUGUGGGACAGAGUCACCUUCCUAGGAUCUCCCUCCACCACCAUCUGGGGCGGUGCUUUACAUGCAGUGGAGCCACCUGGGGUCCUGACAAAUGCAGACUGAUCAACCUGUCAAGGCUGGGCCUGUGAGCCUUUCUGUCCAGUUUCAUGAGAUGCUGGUUCUGCUGGUUCAUGGAUAAUAGCUGGGGUAGCAAGGAUCUCUCUUUUUGUCUCACAGUUUUCUGCAUCUCUUUUUCAUAGUAAGCACAUGCUAAUAUAUUUUCAAUAAAUUCAUGUGCUCUUUUCCUAAGUUGGUAUCAGAGCUAAUUAUUUUUUUCAUUGCGCCAAAAUCCAUAUUAUAUAAAAUUUGGUAUCGUAACAAUUUUUAAGUAUAGAGUACUAUAAUAUGAACUGUAGCACAUUGUUAUGCAACAGAUCUCUAGAACUUUUCAUCUUGCAAAACUGAAACUCUACGCUGAAAAUCUCCUCAUGAAUCCCCCCAGCCUAACCACUGGCAGCCGCCAUUCUACUUUCAGGUUCUAAGAGUUUAGACGCCGCAUAUAACGAAUUGCGCAGUAUUGGAAUUUCCUUGUGAUUGGCUUAUUACACUUAGCAUUGUUCUCCAGGUUCAUCCAUGUUGCAGCAUGUAACAGAAUUUCCUUCUUUUUAAGGUUGAAUCAUAUUCCAUUGCCUACAUAGACCACAUGUUCUUCAUCUAUUCAUGUGUUGAUGGGUGCUUUGUUUGCUUCCUUGUCUUGGCUAUGGUGAGUAAUGUUGCUGUGAAUACGGGUAUGCAAUGUUUUUCUUUUUUACAGCCUCCCUCAUUUCAGUGGAAUUAAUGUUUUAGUAGCUACUUCUGAUAGCACAUAUUUAAAGUAUUUUUGCAUGCAUCAAUGUGUCCAUUGUUGUUUUGAUUCUCUCCUGGAAGAGGAUGGAAAUGUAUGAAGGUGCUGUUUGGCACAGUAUUUAAUGGUGAAGAAGAGACGGUGUAACUGACCAGUGCUGGGUCUCAGCAUCCUGCAAUUUCAGAACUACUGUGAAUGCAAAAAUAAUUAAAAAAACCAGUGCUGCCCAGAAAGGGGGAGUCAUCCCUAAAUAUGGCGGCCCUGGGACAGCUGGCCUCCCUGCCAGGCCUCUUCCAUGGGGGCCCUUUUCUGCAGUGACUGGGAUUUCUUUCCAUUUCACUCUACCCUGUGUCCUGACCCAAGAGACAAGGCAUGUCUGCAGCUGUGCCCACACUUGGAGUGUGUCAGUACAUUAUAAACACUGGCUCAGUGGUGUUAGUACAUUAUAAACAUUGGCUUAUCAUGGGUUAUUUUAUUAUUUAUUGUGUAUUUUGAUUUCACUUUACUGGCAACACAAUAAACAAUGACAUGAUGACCCUAGCAAUCACAUCCUCUUUCUU